CACGGCCCAGACUCCUACGGGAGGCAGCAGUGGGGAAUAUUGCGCAAUGGACGAAAGUCUGACGCAGCAACGCCGCGUGAGGGAUGACGGCCUUCGGGUUGUAAACCUCUUUCAGCAGGGACGAAGCGAGAGUGACGGUACCUGCAGAAGAAGGACCGGCCAACUACGUGCCAGCAGCCGCGGUAAUACGUAGGGUCCGAGCGUUGUCCGGAAUUAUUGGGCGUAAAGGGCUCGUAGGCGGUUCGUCACGUCGGGAGUGAAAACUCGGGGCUUAACCCCGAGCCUGCUUCCGAUACGGGCAGACUAGAGGUAGGCAGGGGAGAGCGGAACUCCUGGUGUAGCGGUGGAAUGCGCAGAUAUCAGGAAGAACACCGGUGGCGAAGGCGGCUCUCUGGGCCUUACCUGACGCUGAGGAGCGAAAGCGUGGGUAGCGAACAGGAUUAGAUACCCUGGUAGUCCACGCCGUAAACGUUGGGCGCUAGGUGUGGGGGACAUUCCACGUCCUCCGUGCCGCAGCUAACGCAUUAAGCGCCCCGCCUGGGGAGUACGGCCGCAAGGCUAAAACUCAAAGGAAUUGACGGGGGCCCGCACAAGCGGC
rnacentral:rRNA from 2 species